GUGGGAGGAGGACCAGGUGGGAGGGUGGCGGCUCACUCAGGACCCAGCGGGGGCAGCGCGAUGAGGCGGGUGACCCUGUUCCUGAACGGCAGCCCCAAGAACGGAAAGAUCCUCAGACAGAUUCUAAGCCUCCUGAAGGACUGUUAGGAUUCCACACAGACUGGCUGACAUUAAAUGUUGGAGGGCGGUACUUUACAACUACACGGAGCACUUUAGUGAAUAAAGAACCUGACAGUAUGCUGGCCCACAUGUUUAAGGACAAAGGUGUCUGGGGAAAUAAGCAAGAUCACAGAGGAGCUUUCUUAAUUGACCGAAGUCCUGAGUACUUUGAACCCAUUUUGAACUACUUGCGUCAUGGACAGCUCAUUGUAAAUGAUGGCAUUAAUUUAUUGGGUGUGUUAGAAGAAGCAAGAUUUUUUGGUAUUGACUCAUUGAUUGAACACCUAGAAGUGGCAAUAAAGAAUUCUCAACCACCGGAGGAUCAUUCACCAAUAUCCCGAAAGGAAUUUGUCCGAUUUUUGCUAGCAACU
rnacentral:sRNA from 1 species